GUUGAACAUGGAAAAAAAUUACCAUCACAGAUACCUCCUGGGGAGUACUCAUGUUUAGUAAGAAACAACUCUUUGGCAGCAAAAGGAUGACCCUCCUGCUAGGUUAAGUAUUCCAUUGGUGUGAAAGAAACUAAUCAUUAAACUUAAUAUUCUUUUUGAAGAAAGACUACAAAUGCUUCCCAUGCCCCCUACUUUUAAACUCCUCCCAAAUGACAAAAACCAAAAAACUAUUUUAAUGUAACAUCAAAAUAUAUAACACAGACUUCCUUUGAACACUAAAUACCACUUUAUUUGUAUAGUGCCUUACAUUUUCCCACCUGCUUUCAUAUUCAGUUUCUCAUUUUGCCCUUCGAAGAAAUCAGACUGGUUAGAAUAAGGGUUAUCUCCAUUUUAGAGACAGAAAUAUGAAGUGCUCCAAGAGAUUAAGUCACUUACCCAAGGUCAAGAGAUAUGCUAGCUUUGAAGAAACAUAAGUCUUCAGAAUAUCAUGUGUUAAAUAACCCAUGUUCUAAAACAUAACUGUUCCCAAACUUGGGCAAAACUUAGCUACUAAAUCUAGAACAAAUACAUAUCUUACAGUAUACAGCAUAUUUAUCUCUUGUAAACUAAUUACAAGUAUGCCUUUCAUUAAUGAGAAAGUGUUAAUAGAUAUUAUAAACUGAAAAUUUCUAUCCUCACCCCACCCACUGAACUGAUAAUAAUUGAUAUUUCAAGGAUUUAUUUUCCUCUUGAAGAAAUAAGGGAGCAGAACUGAAAGAAUAUGAGAAACCAGUUUUCUCCUGAGGCACAAAGGCGGCAGAUUUAACGACUCAAUACCCAGGCAUAAUCACACCAGCAGAGAAGAAUGGGAAAGGAGAUAACAGUAAGAGUUUUGGAGGCUGGAAAUGGAUGAAUGGUAAUGAACUUGGAAAACCUCAGAAGGCCAACUCAUGAGGCAGAGGCAGGGACAGACUGAUUUCUGCCACAAAGUCCUUAAGAGGCUCAGGAUCUAAGGCACCCCAGAAGGCAGAGUGAAAGGAAAGGCUGAAAAUAAGGAAGGCUGAUCGAAGGUCUUUGAAAAGCAAUUGGAUCCCCUCUUCAACUCUCUGUGGAAGAAUAAUCUAUACCCUAUGCUGACAGAGAAAUGGAGGUUUAUUUUCUGGAUAGAAGGUUUCUUGACUGCCUAACACCAGGCACUGCUGAGGUGGGUACUAAGUCCCAGUCCUCUUCCCUCGUCUGGCUCAAAGGUCUUUACCUAUAAGCAGAAGAUUAGUAAAGCUUUUCUCUGCAAAUGUGACCAACACUAAAGGGAGAAGAAAGACUUAAGAGAUAAUGACACAAUAAAGAUGGUAAAAAAAAAAAAGAGAUAAUGACAGUGGGAUGCCACAAUCAUCCUACCGUGAAGCUCACAACUCAGAUGUUAGGCCGCAAAAAGAGCCACAGAACUACCAAUACAGGUUUUUGGUUCCCUACUUUUAAAUGUAGGCAGAAAACCUCGAGUUAUGAAAUACUCAAGGAAAUUUUCUGAUAGGAAAGAUGGUGACCAAAACAGAUAGAAGGGAGAAAAGGUACACAGAAGAAAAUCUAUGUGGAAAGGAAACUUAAAACUUAAUGAAUAUUAUCAGAGGUAAGAGAAAAUACUGCCUUUGUGAAACAUAAAGAGGAUGCUAUUAAAACACAAAAGGACUAUUCAGAAACAAAGGGAACUCUUGGAAACAUGACAGCAGAAAUUAAAAAAAUCUGACAGAUGGGUUGAAAUGUGAAGUUGAGAAAAUCUCCCAGAAAGACAGAGACAGAAAACAGGAGAGAAAAGAUGAGAAAAUCAGAGCAACAGUCCUAUAGGUGAAAUAUCUGGAUCACAAGAAUCCUAGAGAGAAAGGAGAAAGAAAAAAAAUCAUCAACCAAAUAAAGAA